GCAUUCUGGCGGUGCCGGGAGCGGGGCGAGGAGGAGGGUGGGUAUGAGGCGGUAGCGGACCGCGGAGUCGAGACCUACCCGAACGACGCGGGCGAGCGGGGCUUUGGACGCCGGUGGAGACGCAGGCGAGACUCCAGCGGGAGGAAGAAGAGGCCUUUGCCAGCAGUCAGAGCAGCCAAGGGGCCCAAUCCCUCACAUUCUCCAAGUUUGAAGGAAAGAAAACCAACAAGAAGACCCGCAAGGUUACCACAGUGAAGAAAUCUUCAGUACGUCUUCCAGGGUCGGAUCAAAGAAGGGCUGGAGUGCAAUGGCGCGAUCUCGGCUCACUGCAACCUCCACCUAUUGGGUUCAAGUGAUUCUCCUGCCUCAGCCUCCCAAUAGCUGGGAUUACAGAUAUUGAAAUGGAUUCCAGGCGUGUGCCUCGAGACAAGCUGGCCUGCAUCACCAAGUGCAGCAAGCACAUCUUCGAUGCCAUCAAGAUCACCUAGAACGAGCUGGCGUCAGCAGAUGACUUCCUCCCCACCCUCAUCUACAUUGUUUUGAAGGGCAACCCCCAUGCCUUCAGUCUAAUAUCCAGUAUAUCACGUGCUUCUGCAAUCCAAGCCGACUGAUGACUGGAGAGGAUGGCUACUAUUUCACCAAUCUGAGGCUGGGCACUCACUGCAGCUGGCUAAUGAUGACCAUGUGGACAUGCUUUCGGGCCUUCAGGAUCUUCUCCAGCCAGUGGAUGUCAAUAACCUCCAUCUCCUGGGUCCCAGCGAUUCUCCUGCCUCAGCCUCUUCCUAUUUCACAAGUAGGGAAACUGAAGCCCAGCAAGCCCUACAUGAAGAGGCCUCUUUGGUGAGUGGCAGCUCAACCUCUGCUAAAUGCCUCCAGUGAUGGGGAGUUCACUACCUUCCAAAGUUUUUAAAAGAUGUUAACCACUGCUAUUCAAGAACAAUUCUAGAAUUUUUUUUUUUUUGAAAGACAAGGUCUCAUUCUGUCUCGCAGGCCAGAGUGCAGUGGUGUGAUCAUAGCUCACUGCAGCUUUGACUUCCUGGGCUCAAGCAAUCCUCCCUCCUCAGCCUCCUGAGUACCUGAGACUACAGAUGUGCACCACCACACUGGCUCAUUGUUUUCAUUUUUUGUAGAGACAGGAUCUCACUAUGUUGCCCAGGCUGGUCUCCUGGCUUCAAGCAAUCCUCCUGCCUUGGCCUCCCAAAGUGCUGGGAUUACAGGCGUGAGCCACUGCAUCUGGCCUUUUUUUUUUGGAGAUAGAGUCUCGCUCUGUCGCCCAGGGUGGAGUGCAGUGGCGUGAUCUCGGCUCAUUGCAACCUCCGCCUUCCGGGUUCACACCAUUCUCCUGCCUCAGCCUCCCGAGUAGCUGGGAUUACAGGCAUCUGCCAACCAUGCCUGGCUAAUUUUUGUAUUUUUUGGUGGAGACAGGGUCUCACCAUGUUGGCUAGGCUGGUUUCGAACUCCCGACCUCAGGUGAUCUACCCGCCUCAGCCUCCCAAAGUCCUGGGAUUACAGGCUGAGCCACCGCGACCGGCCCUGCUGUUGCUUCUGAGGUUUGAAAACCGCUGCCUCAAUGCUCCUGAUUCAGCUCUUCUUACCCAAAGGUUCCCCCACCUCAUCUACUCUGUUCCUGCACAGUCGCCCUUUUCUCUGAUGCCCCGGGCAGGUUUCUCUCUGCCAGCUCCACGCUUCUGGAGUCCCCCAUCCGUCUUGGGGCCCAGCUGCCCACUGUCUGGGUUCAGACCUUCUCAACACUCCCUGGCUUCUCUGCCCUAGUUUUGCCUUCUCCAAUCCACUCUUGGUGGGUGGAAGUACGGUUACCAUGGUAACUUGAAGACAACGCAAAUCUGAUUGUAUCAUUACAAUGACUGGGAAAACCUCCAGUGCCACAAAAUAAAGCUCAAGUCAC
rnacentral:lncRNA from 1 species